rnacentral:hammerhead_ribozyme from 1 species
AUCCAGCUAACGAGUCCCAAAUAGGACGAAACGCUUGUCAAACUGGAU